GACGAACGCUGGCGGCGUGCUUAACACAUGCAAGUCGAACGAAGUGGCGAACGGGUGAGUAAUACGUGGGUAACCUGCCCUCCUUUUUGGUAUAAGCCUUGGAAACGGGGUCUAAUACCGAAUAAAGGGGGUUGGGCUCGCGGCCUAUCUGCGUGUUGGUGGGGUGAUGGCCUACCAAGGCGGUGACGGGUAGACGGCCUGAGGGGGGAAACGGCGACAGUGGGACUGAGAUAAGGGCCAGAGUCGUAAGGGAGGGAGCAGUGGGGGAAAGGGCACAAUGGGCGAAAGACUGAGGCAGCGACGCCGAGUGGGGGAUGAAGGCGUGAGGGUUGUAAACCUCGUGCGCUAUGGAAGGGGUAGGUGGAGAAGAAGCGCCGGCUAACUACGUGCCAGCAGCCGCGGUAAUAC
rnacentral:rRNA from 1 species